UUGCAUUGAAAUCACGGGAGUGAAAAUCUUCAGGUUUCUUGUGGGGCAGAGCUCGCAGUUUUGUUUGUUGAUGCACUUGUCAAAGGGAAAAUUCCAUAUAGCGAAGAUAUACUUGAUCUUGUCAGGAAAAUCUAUAAGGUUUUUCCUAAGGUGCUGCUGCCUAGUAAUGUGGCAGAUGAUGAUGAUGAUGUUCGAGAAGUUAAUGAAGCUCUUGGAGCAGCAAAAACACGUCUCGAGGGCUUCUCAUCAUUCUUAAGCGCUGCUAUAAAGUGGUCCGCAGAGUUUGGUGCUUCCAGGAAAGGUGAUCCACAACUGCAUGUUAUGCUGGCCGAAUACAUCUACUCCGAAUCUACUGAGUUGAACAAGGCUAAAGUGUCGUAUUAUUUUGUUAGAGGAAACAAC